rnacentral:rRNA from 1 species
GAUGAACGCUGGCGGCGUGCCUAAUACAUGCAAGUCGAGCGAACAGAUAAGGAGCUUGCUCCUUUGACGUUAGCGGCGGACGGGUGAGUAACACGUGGGUAACCUACCUAUAAGACUGGGAUAACUUCGGGAAACCGGAGCUAAUACCGGAUAACAUUUGGAACCGCAUGGUUCUAAAGUGAAAGAUGGUUUUGCUAUCACUUAUAGAUGGACCCGCGCCGUAUUAGCUAGUUGGUAAGGUAACGGCUUACCAAGGCGACGAUACGUAGCCGACCUGAGAGGGUGAUCGGCCACACUGGAACUGAGACACGGUCCAGACUCCUACGGGAGGCUGCAGUAGGGAAUCUUCCGCAAUGGGCGAAAGCCUGACGGAGCAACGCCGCGUGAGUGAUGAAGGGUUUCGGCUCGUAAAACUCUGUUAUUAGGGAAGAACAAACGUGUAAGUAACUGUGCACGUCUUGACGGUACCUAAUCAGAAAGCCACGGCUAACUACGUG